UGGGGAAUAUUGCACAAUGGGCGAAAGCCUGAUGCAGCGACGCCGCGUGAGGGAUGACGGCCUUCGGGUUGUAAACCUCUUUCAGCAGGGACGAAGCGCAAGUGACGGUACCUGCAGAAGAAGCACCGGCUAACUACGUGCCAGCAGCCGCGGUAAUACGUAGGGUGCAAGCGUUGUCCGGAAUUACUGGGCGUAAAGAGUUCGUAGGCGGUUUGUCGCGUCGUUUGUGAAAACCAGCAGCUCAACUGCUGGCUUGCAGGCGAUACGGGCAGACUUGAGUACUGCAGGGGAGACUGGAAUUCCUGGUGUAGCGGUGGAAUGCGCAGAUAUCAGGAGGAACACCGGUGGCGAAGGCGGGUCUCUGGGCAGUAACUGACGCUGAGGAACGAAAGCGUGGGUAGCGAACAGGAUUAGAUACCCUGGUAGUCCACGCCGUAAACGGUGGGCGCUAGGUGUGGUUCCUUCCACGGAAUCCGUGCCGUAGCUAACGCAUUAAGCGCCCCGCCUGGGGAGUACGGCCGCAAGGCU
rnacentral:rRNA from 1 species